rnacentral:rRNA from 1 species
GACGAACGCUGGCGGCGUGCUUAACACAUGCAAGUCGAACGGAAAGGCCCUGCUUUUGUGGGGUGCUCGAGUGGCGAACGGGUGAGUAACACGUGAGUAACCUGCCCUUGACUUUGGGAUAACUUCAGGAAACUGGGGCUAAUACCGGAUAGGAGCUCCUGCUGCAUGGGGGGGGUUGGAAAGUUUCGGCGGUUGGGGAUGGACUCGCGGCUUAUCAGCUUGUUGGUGGGGUAGUGGCUUACCAAGGCUUUGACGGGUAGCCGGCCUGAGAGGGUGACCGGCCACAUUGGGACUGAGAUACGGCCCAGACUCCUACGGGAGGCAGCAGUGGGGACUAUUGCACAAUGGGCGGAAGCCUGAUGCAGCAACGCCGCGUGCGGGAUGACGGCCUUCGGGUUGUAAACCGCUUUCGCCUGUGACGAAGCGUGAGUGACGGUAAUGGGUAAAGAAGCACCGGCUAACUACGUG